rnacentral:rRNA from 1 species
GGGGGGGGGGGGGGGGGGGGGGGGCGGGGGCGGGGCGGGCGGGAGCGCGGGAAGGGCUGGCGCUUACGGGUGGGGAGUGGCGGACGGGGGAGGAAUACAUCGGAAUCUACUUUUUCGUGGGGGAUAACGUAGGGAAACUUACGCUAAUACCGCAUACGACCUACGGGUGAGAGCAGGGGAUCUUCGGACCUUGCGCGAUUGCAUGAGCCGAUGUCGGAUUAGCUAGUUGGCGGGGUAAAGGCCCACCAAGGCGACGAUCCGUAGCUGGUCUGAGAGGAUGAUCAGCCACACUGGAACUGAGACACGGUCCAGACUCCUACGGGAGGCAGCAGUGGGGAAUAUUGGACAAUGGGCGCAAGCCUGAUCCAGCCAUACCGCGUGGGUGAAGAAGGCCUUCGGGUUGUAAAGCCCUUUUGUUGGGAAAGAAAAGCAGCAGGUUAAUACCCCGCUGUUCUGACGGUACCCAAAGAAUAAGCACCGGCUAACUUCGUG